UACGGAAGGGGCAAGCGUUGUUCGGAAUCAUUGGGCGUAAAGGGCGCGUAGGUGGUUCUGUAUGUCUACCGUGAAAGCGUACGGCUCAACCGUAUUUUGUCGGUAGAAACUGCAGGACUUGAGGCUGGGAGGGGCUGGUGGAAUUCCCUGUGUAGCGGUGAAAUGCGUAGAGAUGGGGGGAGAACACUCGUGGCGAAGGCGGCCAGCUAGACCAGUUCUGACACUGAGGCGCGAAAGCGUGGGGAGCAAACAGG
rnacentral:rRNA from 1 species